rnacentral:misc_RNA from 1 species
GCAACUUGAUUCCAGAAUAUUUUACAAAUCCAUGUUCCUUGUUGCAAUCGAUAGGUGUCUUCCUUACACACCCUUGUGACCAAUCUCCCGUUUGCCAAUUUUGUUGAUAUUUAGGUUCAAACUUGUCCAAACAUCCACAAACAGGAGAACUAUCUAUGACACAGCUUCCAUAGGCACCACAUAAGCUAUAUGUAUCACAAGUAUCCAGAGGAAUAUUGAGGUAAAGAUGCCAACUCUUUGUCCUAUCCACCCACGUCAAACGUUGUAUAUAACCAUUGUUAGUCAGGACUAGCCUUGUUAACACCGAGUUGUUAAUGAGAGAAAAACUAUAGUAAACCUCCUCU